UACAGAGGGGGCAAGCGUUAUUCGGAAUUACUGGGCGUAAAGGGCUCGUAGGCGGCCAACUAAGUCAGACGUGAAAUCCCUCGGCUUAACCGGGGAACUGCGUCUGAUACUGGAUGGCUUGAGUUUGGGAGAGGGAUGCGGAAUUCCAGGUGUAGCGGUGAAAUGCGUAGAUAUCUGGAGGAACACCGGUGGCGAAGGCGGCAUCCUGGACCGACACUGACACUGAGGAGCGAAAGCCAGGGGAGCAAACGGG
rnacentral:rRNA from 1 species